UCCCUGGUGGUCCAGUAGUUAUGACUGGGCACUUUUACUGCUGGGCCCAGGUUCAAUCCCUAGUCAGGGAA
rnacentral:tRNA from 1 species